rnacentral:rRNA from 1 species
UACGGGGGGGGCAAGCGUUGUUCGGAAUUACUGGGCGUAAAGGGCUCGUAGGCGGCCAACUCAGUCGGACGUGAAAUCCCUCGGCUUAACCGGGGAACUGCUUCCGAUACUGGAUGGCUUGAGUGUGGGAGAGGGAUGCGGAAUUCCAGGUGUAGCGGUGAAAUGCGUAGAUAUCGGGAGGAACACCGGUGGCGAAGGCGGUUCUCUGGGCCUUACCUGACGCUGAGGAGCGAAAGCGUGGGGAGCGAACAGG